GAUGAAGAACGUAGCGAAAUGCGAUAAGUAAUGUGAAUUGCAGAAUUCAGUGAAUCAUCGAAUCUUUGAACGCACAUUGCGCCCGCCAGUAUUCUGGCGGGCAUGCCUGUUCGAGCGUCAUUUCAACCAUCAAGCCCCAGGCUUGUGUUGGAGCCCUGCGGCUGCCGCAGCCUCCCAAAACCAGUGGCGGGCUCGCUAUCACACCGAGUGCAGUAGUUUACUCUUCGCUCAGGGCGUGUGGCAGGUGCUAGCCGUAAAACCCCCAACUUCUCAAGGUUGACCUCGGAUCAGGUAGGAAUACCCGCUGAACUUAAGCAUAUCAAUAAGCGGAGGA
rnacentral:misc_RNA from 1 species